UCCACGCCGUAAACGAUGCACACUAGGCAUUUGGAGUAUCGACCCUUCGAGUGCCGAAGCUAACGCGUUAAGUGUGCCGCCUGGGUAGUACGGCCGCAAGGCUAAAACUCAAAGGAAUUGACGGGGACCCGCACAAGCGGUGGAACAUGAGGUUUAAUUCGAUUCUAAGCGAAGAACCUUAUCAGGACUUGACAUCUCUGGAAUUUUUUAGAAAUAAGAAAGUGCCUUCGGGA
rnacentral:rRNA from 1 species